rnacentral:rRNA from 1 species
AUUGAACGCUGGCGGCAGGCCUAACACAUGCAAGUCGAGCGGAGCGGCGGAUGGGUUAGUAAUGCUUAGGAAUCUGCCUGGUAGUGUGGGAUAACGUCCGGAACCGGGCGCUAAUACCGCUUACUAUCAGAUGAGCCUAUGUCGGGUUAGCUAGUGGGUGGGGUAAAGGCCUACCAAGGCGACGAUCCGUAACUGGUCUGAGAGGCUGAUCAGUCACACUGGAACUGAGACACGGUACAGACUCCUACGGGAGGCAGCAGUGGGGAAAAUUGGACAAUGGGGGAAGGCCUGAUCCAGCCAGGCCGCGUGUGUGAAGAAGGUCUUCGGAUUGUAAAGAACUUGAAGUUGGGAGGCGUUACCUGCAGAAUAAGCACCGGCUAACUUCGUGCCAGCAGCCGCGGUAAUAC